ACAAGAAAUGAAAGAAAAUUUGAAAAGCUAGUUUUCGUUUGAUCUAAAUGUCCUGUGCCCGGCUCUGUUGCAUUCGUGCUCGUGAAGGUAGGAAAGCUCGUGUUCGGCAGCUGCCAGUCUUAAUAUGCACAGUGGCAGCACGCUCCUCUGUGCCACGACCAUUUAUUUCUACCUCCAUUGCCCGAGAACAAGCGCCCGCACGUAUCGACUGUGGGGAAGGAGCAGGCGGCCAGCUGCUGUUCCCGCCACCGCGGUGCUGCAGUCCAAUUUUGUGCCAAGCAAGCAAGGGUUGUCUGUUACAGCUAGGCGCCAUGUAGCCGGGAAGUUGACGCACACUUUUUUCCAAUCGCUCUGAAAAGCUGCGGUCCUCCGAAGGAGCGGGUGCCUGUUGCCGGGAUUCUUCUGGUUGAUCGCAAAGAAGCAGCAGUUGGUUGUGGUACAGUGACAGCGGGUCAGACGGCGGAGAGAAGUCGCGUUUCUUGGAGAUUUUCCUCUACCUGCUGGUGCACCUGGGCACAAAAAACCUGUCAUGAUGCCUGGAACGUCUGAGCUACGGCACACGGGAUAGCAGCAACAGUAGAAUUAACCUCGGGAGACAUACACAUGUGCUCGGUGAAGGUGGUUCCUCUCUCAAGCCAGCCGGCACUAGUCGACAGAGAAAAAUUGACAAGCCCAGAGAACAGUACCAAUGCUACUUGUGCCCCUUCGUAUCGAAGAACUUGAAGCGGCACAUGCUAACUCACUGAGAAAAGCAAUUCGUUUGCUCAGUCUGUUCAAAGCAAUUUAGACGAUCGGACCCGCUCGCAGAGCACAUGCGGAUGCACAGUAAUGAAAAACCUUAUUCUUGUUCUGUGUGUCCAUAUAGAGCAUGUUACAGGAGUUUGUUAAAAUCCCAUCUGAGAAGCCACAGUGAUGUAAUACGGGUGCGCAAUGUGCACAUUCUUCGCUAAUAAAUACAAAUUUGUGGAAAAGCAAAA